GACAGAGGAUGCAAGCGUUAUCCGGAAUGAUUGGGCGUAAAGCGUCUGUAGGUGGCUUUUCAAGUCCGCCGUCAAAUCCCAGGGCUCAACCCUGGACAGGCGGUGGAAACUACCAAGCUGGAGUACGGUAGGGGCAGAGGGAAUUUCCGGUGGAGCGGUGAAAUGCGCAGAUAUCAGGAAGAACACCGAUGGCGAAGGCAGUUCUCUGGGCCGUAACUGACGCUGAGGAGCGAAAGCGUGGGGAGCGAACAGG
rnacentral:rRNA from 1 species